AACGCACAUUGCACCCUCUGGUAUUCCGGGGGGUAUGCCUGUUCGAGCGUCAUUUCAACCCUCAAGCUCUGCUUGGUAUUGGGUGUCACCUGGCAAAAUAGGUGCGCCUUAAAAUCAGUGGCGGUGCCAUCUGGCUUCAAGCAUAGUAAAUUUCUUGCUUUGGAGGGUAGGAUGUGUACCUUGCCAUCAACCCCUAAUUUUGUCAAAAGGUUGACCUCGGAUCAGGUAGGGAUACCCGCUGAACUUAA
rnacentral:misc_RNA from 1 species